AUUUACGUUUAACAAAUCAUGUUUUAUUUUUUGCAGUUUUCCAGGUUGCUUUGGUGGCAUUAUUGCAUAGAUGAGAGACCAUCCGUGAUUCAUACACAAAAUUGACUGACGUGGUUUCAGAUUUGGAGCAGGAAGGGUGACCUUGUGUACGUACAGAUCACGGACUUAGACGUGUUGUCAGAACUGGAGCAUAAAUGGCAAUGGUAUAAUGGAUGGCCGACGUUCAGAUGUACAAAGUUAUACUGCAGACUUUGGAGCAUAAAGGGUGUGUAUAUUUACUUUUUAGCUGACCUGAGCCAUAGGCUCAGGGUGAGCUAUUGUGAUCACUCACCGUCCGUCGUCCGUAAACUUUUACUUUAAACGACAUCUCCUCAUAAACCGCUAGGCCGAUUUCAUCCAACCUUCACAGGAAUGUUCCUUGGGUGAAGCUCUACAAAAAUUGUUCAAAGAAUUGAAUUCCAUGCAGAACUCUGGUUGCCAUGGCAACCGAAAGGAAAAACUUUAAAAAUCUUCUUCUCAAAAACCAGAAGUCCUAGAGCUUAGAUAUUUGAGGUGAAGCAUUGCCUAGUGGACCUCUACCAAUUUUGUUCAAAUCGUGACCCCAGGGUCAUAUGAUUUUACAUAGGAAAAUCUUAAAAAAUCUUCUUCUCAAAAACCAGACGCCCUAGAGCUUAGAUAUUUGACAUGUAGCAUUGCCUAGUAGACCUCUACUAAAAUUGUUCAAAUCUUAACCCCGGGUCAAAAUUGAGCCCGCCCCAGGGGUCACUUGAUUUUACAUAGAUUUCUAUAGGAAAAUCUUCAAUUAAAAAAAAACCAGAAGGCGUAGAGCUUAGAUAUUUGACAUGUUGCAUUGCCUAGUGGACCUCUACAAAAUUUGUUCUAAUCAUGAUCCCCGGGGUCAAAAUUGACCCCGCCCCAGGGGUCACUUGAUUUUACAUAGGAAAAUCUUCAAAUUUUUUCUAAAAAUAAACCAGAAGGCCUAGAGCUUAGAUAUUUAUCAUGUAGCAUUGCCUAGUAGACCUCUACAAAAUUUGUUCAAAUUAUGACCCCCGUGGUCAAAAUUGUCCCCGCCCCAGGGGUUACUUGAGUUUACAUAGGAAAAUCUUCAAAAUUUUUCUAAAAAUAAACCAAAAGGCCUAGAUCUUAGAUAUUUGACAUGUAGCAUUGCCUAGUAGACUUCAAUAAACUUUAUUCAAAUCAUGACCUAGUGGACCUCUACAAAAUUUGUUCAAAUUAUGACCCCCGGGGUCAAAUUGACCCCGCCCAAUGGAGUUACUUGUUGUACAUAGAAAAAUCUUCAAAAUUUUCUAAAAAUAAACCAGAAGGCCUAGAGCUUAGAUAUUUGACUUGUAGCAUUGCGUAGUGGACCUCUACAAAAUUUGUUCAAAUUUUGACCUCCAGGUCAAAUUGAUCCAGCCCCAGGGGUUACUUGAUUGUACAUAGGGAAAUUUUCAUGAAUUUGCUAAAUAUAAACCAAACGGCCUUGAUCUAAGAUAUUUGAUAUGUAACAUUGCCUAGUAGACUUCUACAAACUUUGUUCAAAUCAUGACCCCGGGGUAAAAUUGACACCGCCCCAGCGGUAACUUAAUUGUACAUCGGAAAAUCUUCAAAACUUUCUAAAAAUAAACCAGAAGGGAUAGAGCUUAGAUUUUUGACAUGUAGCAUUGCCUAGAGGACCUCUAUAAAAUUUGUUCAA